GACGUAGGGCGCGAGCGUUGUCCGGAUUUAUUGGGCGUAAAGAGCUCGUAGGCGGCUUGUCGCGUCGUCCGUGAAAACUUGGGGCUCAACCCCAAGCUUGCGGUCGAUACGGGCGGGCUGGAGUUCGGUAGGGGAGACUGGAAUUCCUGGUGUAGCGGUGAAAUGCGCAGAUAUCAGGAGGAACACCGGUGGCGAAGGCGGGUCUCUGGGCCGAUACUGACGCUGAGGAGCGAAAGCGUGGGGAGCGAACAGG
rnacentral:rRNA from 1 species